UGCAUGCUUCGUUCAGUUACGUGUACUCCUGGGAGCAUCAUUAAUGUCAGGAAGUUCGAUUAUGGCUCCAGAUUGAACGCUGGCGGGAUGCUACAUGCAAGUCGAACGGCAGCACGGACUUCGGUCUGGUGGCGAGUGGCGAACGGGUGAGUAAUGUAUCGGAACGUGCCUGAAGUAGCGAGGGGAUAACUACGCGAAAGCGUAGCUAAUACACGCCACGCCCUUCGAGGAAAGCGGGGGGACCUUCGGGCCUCGCACUAUCGACGGCGGUAUCGGAUUAGCUAGUUGGUGGGGUAACGGCUCACCAAGGCGACGAUCCGUAGCUGGUUUGAGAGGACGACCAGCCACACUGGGACUGAGACAGCGGCCCAGACUCCUACAGGAGGCAGCAGUGGGGAAUUUUGGACAAUGGGGAAACCUGAUCAGCCAUCCCGCGUGUCACGAUGAAGGCCUUCGGGUUGUAAAGCACUUUUGGCAGGAAAGAAACGGCACGGGAUAAUACCCCGUACAACUGACGGUACCUGCAGAAUAAAGCACCGGCGCUACGUGCCAGCAGCCGCGGUAAUACGUAGGGUGCAAGCGUUAAUCAGAGUUACUGGGCGUAAAGCGUGCGCAGGCGGUUCGGAAAGAAAGGUACUUGAAAUCCCAGAGCUUAACUUUUGGAACUGCAUUUUUAACUACCGAGCUAGAGUGUGUCAGAGGUGGAAUUCCGCGUGUAGCAAUUGAAAUGCGUAGAUAUGCGGAGGAACACCGAUGGCGAAGGCGGCCUCCUGGGAUAACACUGACGCUCAUGCACGAAAGCGUGGGAGCAAACAGGAUUAGAUACCCUGGUAGUCCGCCUAAACGAUGUCAACUAGCUGUUGGGACCUUCGGGCCUUGGUAGCGCAGCUAACGCGUGAGAUUGACCGCCUGGGGUAAAUUCGCAAGAUUAAAACUCAAAGGAAUUGACGGGGACCCGCACAAGCAGUGGAUGAUGUGGAUUAAUUCGAUGCAACGCGAAAAACCUUACCUACCCUUGACAUGUCUGGAAUCCCGAAGAGAUUUGGGAGUGCUCGCAAGAGAACCGGAACACAGGUGCUGCAUGUGUCGUCAGCUCUCGUGUCGUGAGAUGUUGGGUUAAGUCCCGCAACGGGCGCAACCCUUGUCAUUAGUUGCUACGAAAGGGCACUCUAAUGAGACUGCCGGUGACAAACCGGAGGAAGGUGAGGAUGACGUCAAGUCCUCAUGGCCCUUAUGGUGAGGCUUCACACGUCAUACAAUGGUCGGGACAGAGGGUCGCCAACCCGCGAGGGGAGCCAAUCCCGACCCGAUCGUAGUCGGAUCACCGAUCUGCAACUCGACUGCAUUGAAGUCGGAAUCGCUGGUAAUCGCGGAUCGGCAUGUCGCGGUGAAUACGUUCCCGGGUCUUGCGUACACACCGCCCGUCACACCAUGGGAGUGGGUUUUACCAGAAGUAGUUAGCCUAACCGUAAGGAGGGCGAUUACCACGGUAGGAUUCAUGACUGGGGUGAAGUCGUAACAAGGCCAA
rnacentral:rRNA from 1 species